rnacentral:lncRNA from 10 species
CGCCCCUCCCCCAGCCUGUCUUCCGCCUUGCAGUUUGAUCUCAGACUGCUGUGCUAGCAAUCAGCGAGACUCCGUGGGCGUAGGACCCUCCGAGCCAGGCAUCAGCUAUCAAAACUUAUGGGAAAUGGAAUUGAAGACAACUACUUCUAGAAUUGGUGCAUGGAAGCUUCUCAUAGGUGAUUAGCCACACUCUUCUUCUGUCAACCUGGUGCAGAAAAGCUUGAAGACCUUGGAAAUCACAUAUUGAUGAUGGAGGAGAUACAAGAAUGAAGGACCCUGGGUUCCUGAAUCAACACUCUAAGAAGAGACUCCUUGAAAUCAAGAGCACUCAUUUUGACAUUGCAAACGGAAAAAUUCACUUCUAUCAGGUGUCAUUAGUUCCUUGCUAGAAUUUCUUUGGUGUCCUUUCUGCAUUUCAAACUCACAAAGGUUCUGUGAAAAGCAAUAUGUUCCCCAGUGGAGCUUAAAGUCUGGUGCAGAAAGCAGACAUUUAACAGGGGACUGAUCGGAGUCAAACCAUAUGCUGUGGCUUUUGCUCCAUGGAAAUCUCAACUAUACUGCAAGAAUAAUUAUUCCUACUUAAUGAAGUUACAGAAGAGAAUGUGGUGCUGGACGGUACUGACUGCAUGGGGAGAGGCCAUACCACAGAAACCUCAAUCUGCCUGAGCCGUGACUCUGAGAGCUGGAGUACCACUGGACAAGUGGGAACUGGAAGGGAAUUGAAGUAUCUGGGGCACCUGUUUCUCUGGAGAGUAUGAGAGGAAAAAGCAGCUGACAAACAUACUAAGAAGAAAACAUCUGAAAUUUUAAUGAAUUUUUAAAGAUUAAAU